GGGGAAUAUUGCGCAAUGGGGGGAACCCUGACGCAGCCAUGCCGCGUGAAUGAAGAAGGCCUUAGGGUUGUAAAGUUCUUUCGGUAUUGAGGAAGGUUGAUGUGUUAAUAGCACAUCAAAUUGACGUUAAAUACAGAAGAAGCACCGGCUAACUCCGUGCCAGCAGCCGCGGUAAUACGGAGGGUGCGAGCGUUAAUCGGAAUAACUGGGCGUAAAGGGCACGCAGGCGGUUAUUUAAGUGAGGUGUGAAAGCCCCGGGCUUAACCUGGGAAUUGCAUUUCAGACUGGGUAACUAGAGUACUUUAGGGAGGGGUAGAAUUCCACGUGUAGCGGUGAAAUGCGUAGAGAUGUGGAGGAAUACCGAAGGCGAAGGCAGCCCCUUGGGAAUGUACUGACGCUCAUGUGCGAAAGCGUGGGGAGCAAACAGGAUUAGAUACCCUGGUAGUCCACGCUGUAAACGCUGUCGAUUUGGGGGUUGGGGUUUAACUCUGGCGCCCGUAGCUAACGCGAUAAAUCGACCGCCUGGGGAGUACGGCCGCAAGGUUA
rnacentral:rRNA from 1 species